UGCAGUCGAACGGAGCUUAGAGAGCUUGCUUUUUAAGCUUAGUGGCGAACGGGUGAGUAACGCGUGAGUAACCUGCCCUAGAGUGGGGGACAACAGUUGGAAACGACUGCUAAUACCGCAUAAGCCCACGGUACCGCAUGGUACUGAGGGAAAAGGAUUUAUUCGCUUUAGGAUGGACUCGCGUCCAAUUAGCUAGUUGGUGAGGUAACGGCCCACCAAGGCGACGAUUGGUAGCCGGACUGAGAGGUUGAACGGCCACAUUGGGACUGAGACACGGCCCAGACUCCUACGGGAGGCAGCAGUGGGGGAUAUUGCACAAUGGGGGAAACCCUGAUGCAGCGACGCCGCGUGGAGGAAGAAGGUUUUCGGAUUGUAAACUCCUGUCGUUAGGGACGAUAAUGACGGUACCUAACAAGAAAGCACCGGCUAACUACGUGCCAGCAGCCGCGGUAAAACGUAGGGUGCAAGCGUUGUCCGGAAUUACUGGGUGUAAAGGGAGCGCAGGCGGGAAGACAAGCUGGAAGUGAAAACCAUGGGCUCAACCCAUGAAUUGCUUUCAAAACUGUUUUUCUUGAGUAGUGCAGAGGUAGAUGGAGUUCCCGGUGUAGCGGUGGAAUGCGUAGAUAUCGGGAGGAACACCAGUGGCGAAGGCGGUCUACUGGGCACCAACUGACGCUGAGGCUCGAAAGCAUGGGUAGCAAACAGGAUUAGAUACCCUGGUAGUCCAUGCCGUAAACGAUGAUUACUAGGUGUUGGGGGGAUUGACCCCCUCAGUGCCGCAGUUAACACAAUAAGUAAUCCACCUGGGGAGUACGACCGCAAGGUUGAAACUCAAAGGAAUUGACGGGGG
rnacentral:rRNA from 1 species